GCCCCCGUAGCUCAGUGGAUAGAGCGAUCCCCUCCUAAAGACGAUUGGGCACCGGAUGCCGAAAGGCGCCGCGUGAAUGGAGUCAAAUUCGGUGAACCCUGACAGCGCAUCGGCCAACAUGGCGUGCGGCUGCUGGCGAUACCGAGCCAAGCCGGUUCCAGGCAAGCAUGGGAACCGGAAGGUGUAGAGACUAGACGGCUCCGGCCUGUCGGCGACGUUGCCUCAAUGGCGAUAGCCGCCCAAGGCCAAGGUAUAGUCCAGACCACAAACAUUCAUCUGGUGGCGAAAGCCAUAGUGGUACGAAGGGAUAGGUCACACGUUCGAUCCGUGUCGGGGGCGCCA
rnacentral:tRNA from 1 species